rnacentral:lncRNA from 1 species
UCAAGAGUAACAAGUAGAAAAGGGUUGAAGAUCUUAUGUUACGAUGAAGAUGGGAAAGUAACAAAUGAAGCUACAAAUGUAGUGUAUAAAGAAGUUUUCCGAAAUUUAGAUGAUAGAAGUUUUGAAUGAGUAAGUAUCAAAUGAGUAGCAACAAUGACAGGUUCAGUGUACAUACUCAGUAUAUAGUUGCUCAUACUACAGAGAAAGAUAAAGUUGAAUGAGGUAAACAUUCUUCCAAAUUUACUUUACUUUGAUAUAUCCUGUUGCUUCUUA